CAAUAGCGUAUAUUUAAGUUGUUGCAGUUAAAAAGCUUGUAGUCGGAUUUUGGCUGAGAACGAUCGGUCCGCCGUUAGGUGUGCACUGAUUGGUCUCAGCUUCCUGGUGAGGAGGUGUGCUUCACGGCCACUUAGUCACCGUGGUUACUUUGAAAAAAUUAGAGUGUUCAAAGCGGGCUUACGCUUGAAUAUAUUAGCAUGGAAUAACACCAUAGGACUCCUGUCCUAUUUCGUUGGUCUCGGGACGGGAGUAAUGAUUAAGAGGAACAGUUGGGGGCAUUCGUAUUUCAUUGUCAGAGGUGAAAUUCUUGGAUUUAUGAAAGACGAACUUCUGCGAAAGCAUUUGCCAAGGAUGUUUUCAUUGA
rnacentral:rRNA from 1 species